ACGAACGCUGGCGGCACGCUUAACACAUGCAAGUCGAACGAGAGAAGAGAAGCUUGCUUUUCUGAUCUAGUGGCGGACGGGUGAGUAACACGUGAGCAAUCUGCCUUUCAGAGGGGGAUACCGAUUGGAAACGAUCGUUAAUACCGCAUAAUAUAAUUGAACCGCAUGAUUUGAUUAUCAAAGAUUUAUCGCUGAAAGAUGAGCUCGCGUCUGAUUAGCUAGUUGGUAAGGUAACGGCUUACCAAGGCGACGAUCAGUAGCCGGACUGAGAGGUUGAUCGGCCACAUUGGGACUGAGACACGGUCCAGACUCCUACGGGAGGCAGCAGUGGGGAAUAUUGCACAAUGGAGGAAACUCUGAUGCAGCGAUGCCGCGUGAGGGAAGAAGGUUUUAGGAUUGUAAACCUCUGUCUUCAGGGACGAAAAAUGACGGUACCUGAGGAGGAAGCUCCGGCUAACUACGUGCCAGCAGCCGCGGUAAUACGUAGGGAGCGAGCGUUGUCCGGAAUUACUGGGUGUAAAGGGAGCGUAGGCGGGAUCGCAAGUCAGAUGUGAAAACUAUGGGCUUAACCCAUAAACUGCAUUUGAAACUGUGGUUCUUGAGUGAAGUAGAGGUAAGCGGAAUUCCUAGUGUAGCGGUGAAAUGCGUAGAUAUUAGGAGGAACAUCAGUGGCGAAGGCGGCUUACUGGACGGUAACUGACGUUGAGGCUCGAAAGCGUGGGGAGCAAACAGGAUUAGAUACCCUGGUAGUCCACGCCGUAAACGAUGAUUACUAGGUGUGGGGGGACUGACCCCUUCCGUGCCGCAGCAAACGCAAUAAGUAAUCCACCUGGGGAGUACGACCGCAAGGUUGAAACUCAAAGGAAUUGACGGGGGCCCGCACAAGCAGUGGAGUAUGUGGAUUAAUUCGAAGCAACGCGAAGAACCUUACCAGGUCUUGACAUCGUAUGCAUAGCUCAGAGAUGAGUGAAAUCUCUUCGGAGACAUAUAGACAGGUGGUGCAUGGUUGUCGUCAGCUCGUGUCGUGAGAUGUUGGGUUAAGUCCCGCAACGAGCGCAACCCUUACUGUUAGUUGCUACGCAAGAGCACUCUAGCAGGACUGCCGUUGACAAAACGGAGGAAGGUGGGGAUGACGUCAAAUCAUCAUGCCCCUUAUGACCUGGGCCUCACACGUACUACAAUGGCUGUCAACAGAGGGAAGCAAAGCCGCGAGGUGGAGCAAACCCCUAAAAGCAGUCUUAGUUCGGAUUGUAGGCUGCAACCCGCCUACAUGAAGUCGGAAUUGCUAGUAAUCGCAGAUCAGCAUGCUGCGGUGAAUACGUUCCCGGGCCUUGUACACACCGCCCGUCACGCCAUGGGAGUCGGUAACACCCGAAGCCUGUAGUCUAACCGCAAGGAGGACGCAGUCGAAGGUGGGAUUGAUGACUGGGGUG
rnacentral:rRNA from 1 species